AGCGAACGCUGGCGGCAGGCCUAACACAUGCAAGUCGAACGAACCUUUCGGGGUUAGUGGCGGAUGGGUGAGUAACACGUGGGAACGUGCCUUUAUGUUCGGAAUAACUCAGGGAAACUUGUGCUAAUACCGAAUGUGCCCUUCGAGGGAAAGAUUUAUCGCCUUUAGAGCGGCCCGCGUCUGAUUAGCUAGUUGGUUGAGGUAAUGGCUCACCAAGGCGACGAUCAGUAGGUGGUAUGAGAGGAUGAUCAGCCACAUUGGGACUGAGACACGGCCCAAAAUCUUACGCGAGGCAGCAGUGGGGAAUCUUGCGAAAUGGGCGAAAGCCUGACGCAGCCAUGCCGCGUGAAUGAUGAAGGUCUUAGGAAUGUAAAAUUCUUUCACCGGGGACGAUAAUGACGGUACCCGGAGAAGAAGCCCCGGCUAACUUCGUG
rnacentral:rRNA from 1 species